AUUGAACGCUGGCGGCAUGCCUUACACAUGCAAGUCGAACGGCAGCACGGGUGCUUGCACCUGGUGGCGAGUGGCGAACGGGUGAGUAAUACAUCGGAACAUGUCCUGUAGUGGGGGAUAGCCCGGCGAAAGCCGGAUUAAUACCGCAUACGAUCUACGGAUGAAAGCGGGGGACCUUCGGGCCUCGCGCUAUAGGGUUGGCCGAUGGCUGAUUAGCUAGUUGGUGGGGUAAAGGCCUACCAAGGCGACGAUCAGUAGCUGGUCUGAGAGGACGACCAGCAACACUGGGACUGAGACACGGCCAAGACUCCGACGGGAGGCAGCAGGGGGGAAUUGUGGACAAGGGGCGAAAGCCUGAUCCAGCAAUGCCGCGUGUGGGAAGAAGGCCUUCGGGUUGUAAACUGCUUUUGUCCGGAAAGAAAACGUUGUGUCUAAUACGGGGGGGAGAUGACGGUACCGGAAGAAUAAGCACCGGCUAACUACGUG
rnacentral:rRNA from 1 species